rnacentral:tRNA from 1 species
GUAGGAGUGGGGCUUGACCCACCUGCACAGGGCUACAACCUGCCGCCUUCUCGGCCAUCUUACCCG